rnacentral:rRNA from 1 species
UACGUAGGGCGCAAGCGUUGUCCGGAAUUAUUGGGCGUAAAGAGCUCGUAGGCGGCUUGUCACGUCGGGUGUGAAAGCCCGGGGCUUAACCCCGGGUCUGCAUUCGAUACGGGCUGGCUAGAGUGUGGUAGGGGAGACUGGAAUUCCUGGUGUAGCGGUGAAAUGCGCAGAUAUCAGGAGGAACACCGGUGGCGAAGGCGGGUCUCUGGGCCGAUACUGACGCUGAGGAGCGAAAGCGUGGGGAGCGAACAGG